rnacentral:tRNA from 1 species
AGCUCAGUCGGUAGAGCAGCGGACUUUUAAUCCGUUGGUCGAAGGUUCGAAUCCUUCG